ACAACCCGGCAGCUGCUAGUGAGUAGUGACCAGCCUGGCUGCCUGCCUCGCAGAACCCCGGCGAUGGCCAUCUCUUCCGCCCUCCGGCGCUGCGAGCCCUGGGCGGCGGCGCGCUUUCUCCUCGCGUCCAGGAGUGGCUGGCGUGUCCAUCCUCCCCAGACCCAUCCCCACCGCGCCGAGUGCUCCGCUCUUCUCUCUUCCCUCUCCGCCCCGCAGCCGGGCGCCGCCGCCGAAGCCCAGCUCCUCCGGGUCAUAAACUAUGAGAUCUCCUGCGCGCAGCAAGACUGCAAGAAACGCGACUGGGCAAAGGAAUUAGGGGAAGGGUUCCCCUUUGAGAUCCAGGACAAGGAGGGUACCAGUAGGAUAACUCUCACCAGGAAAGAUCAGAAGGAGCGAAUUGAAGUGGACGUGUUCUUACCGAGCCCUGCUGAUAGCUUGGAGCAGAAUUUUGAGCAAGAGGACCGGGUAGAAGGUGACAACCGCCAGGGACAAGCCAGUAAUUCUGCUGGAAAUCAGUACUAUAUCCCGCUGCUGGUGAAAAUUCGCAAAGGAACAGCUUCACGGCUGGAGAUCAGUUGUAGAUCUUACCCUGAUGAACUCACCAUUGAGAGUUUGGCAUUUGGACCGAGGGAUAAGUCUGUUGAUUCAUCAAAUGUUGAAGCUAAGAUAAGUAGUCUUCCUGAGGAAUUGCAGCAAGCAUUCUAUUCCUACUUGAAAAGUAGAGCCAUUUCGUCAGAUGUUACCAACUUCUUGCAUGCAUACAUGAUAAACAAAGAGUGCCAUGAGUACUUGGCUUGGCUGAGAAAACUUAAGGGUUUGAUGAAAAAUUAAAUGAAGUUCAGCAGAAGUUCUUUUUUUUCCGAAGUUUUGGACAAAUUCCUUUCAUCAGUUCUUGAGUCUAUUUUUCAGUGGCACUGUGAUGUCUGAGAUAAGAAUUAAGGAAACUUGUGGGCAGGACGGCCCAUUAUACAAGAAAUGAGUUCAUAAUUUGGACAUCGAAUAAGUUCAUUCAAGAUCGCAGGACCUGCAACUGCUGGGACAGUGCCACAGUCAGUGCCUGAAACAGCAAGCUGCCUCCUAAGCCGGGAUCAGCGCUGAUUGUAGAACCUCGCCACCAGGAAAUGGAUUGAAGAUGACUGCAACUUAUACGAGUUCUGCUGCUGCAUGUCCUCAACUGCGCACGUCAGUACAAUUUUGGGUGGUCGUUGCUUCACCUAUACUUUUGUCAAGCUAGAAAAUAAAGAGAAACCAUUUCCAGUUUUUCAGCUUGUGCACGCAACAAAAUUAGAUGGCAAAUUAUAUGCCAGUUGGAUAUUUGAAAACCUCA